CCUACGGGUGGCAGCAGUGGGGGAUAUUGCACAAUGGGCGGAACCCUGAUGCAGCGACGCCGCGUGGGUGAAGGAGUGCUUCGGCAUGUAAAGCUCUAUCGGCAGGGAAGAAGCAAGAUGGUACCUGACUAAGAAGCCCCGGCUAACUACGUGCCAGCAGCCGCGGUAAUACGUAGGGGGCGAGCGUUAUCCGGAUGCACUGGGUGUAAAGGGAGCGUAGACGGCCAUGCAAGCCAGGGGUGAAAGUCCGUGGCCCAACCCCGGGAGUGCCCUUGGAACUGGAUGGCUGGAGUGCGGGAGAGGCAGGCGGAAUUCCUGGUGUAGCGGUGAAAUGCGUAGAUAUCAGGAGGAACACCGGCGGCGAAGGCAGCCUGCUGGACUGCGACUGACGUUGAGGCUCGAAAGCGUGGGGAGCAAACAGGAUUAGAUACCCGAGUAGUC
rnacentral:rRNA from 1 species